rnacentral:rRNA from 1 species
UGUACCGAAGUUUCUGAUGUCACACUGCCGAGAAAAGCUUCUAGUUAGAAAACAACGGCCCGUACCGUAAGCCGACACAGGUAGUCGAGGAGAGUAUCCUAAGGUGUGCGAGAGAACUCUCGUUAAGGAACUCGGCAAAAUGACCCCGUAACUUCGGGAGAAGGGGUGCUGUUCGCAAGAACAGCCGCAGUGAAUAGGCCCAAGCGACUGUUUAUCAAAAACACAGGUCUCUGCAAAAUCGAAAGAUGAAGUAUAGGGGCUGACGCCUGCCCGGUGCUGGAAGGUUAAGAGGAGUGCUUAGCGCAAGCGAAGGUACGAAUUGAAGCCCCAGUAAACGGCGGCCGUAACAAUAACGGUCCCAAGGUAGCGAAAUUCCUUGUCGGGUAAGUUCCGACCCGCACGAAAGGCGUAACGAUUUGGGCACUGUCUCAACGAGAGACUCGGUGAAAUUUUAGUACCUGUGAAGAUGCAGGUUACCCGCGACAGGACGGAAAGACCCCAUGGAGCUUUACUGUAAUUUGAUAUUGAGUGUCUGUACCGCAUGUACAGGAUAGGUAGGAGCCGUAGAGAUCGGGACGCUAGUUUCGAUGGAGGCAAUGGUGGGAUACUACCCUUGCGUUAUGGCCACUCUAACCCGCAUCACAAAUCGUGAUGGGAGACAGUGUCAGAUGGGCAGUUUGACUGGGGCGGUCGCCUCCUAAAAGGUAACGGAGGCGCCCAAAGGUUCCCUCAGAAUGGUUGGAAAUCAUUCGUAGAGUGCAAAGGCAAAAGGGAGCUUGACUGCGAGAGCUACAACUCGAGCAGGGACGAAAGUCGGGCUUAGUGAUCCGGUGGUUCCGCAUGGAAGGGCCAUCGCUCAACGGAUAAAAGCUACCCUGGGGAUAACAGGCUUAUCUCCCCCAAGAGUCCACAUCGACGGGGAGGUUUGGCACCUCGAUGUCGGCUCGUCGCAUCCUGGGGCUGUAGUCGGUCCCAAGGGUUGGGCUGUUCGCCCAUUAAAGCGGCACGCGAGCUGGGUUCAGAACGUCGUGAGACAGUUCGGUCCCUAUCCGUCGCGGGCGUUGGAAAUUUGAGAGGAGCUGUCCUUAGUACGAGAGGACCGGGAUGGACUUACCGCUGGUGUACUAGUUGUCUCGCCAGAGGCAUCGCUGGGUAGCUAUGUAGGGAAGGGAUAAACGCUGAAAGCAUCUAAGUGUGAAGCCCACCUCAAGAUGAGAUUUCCCAUUUCUUUAAGAAAGUAAGAUCCCUGAGAGAUGAUCAGGUAGAUAGGUCAGGAGUGGAAGUGCAGCGAUGUACGGAGCGGACUGAUACUAAUCGAUCGAGGACUUAACC